GUGCCAGCAGCUGCGGUAAUACGGAGGGUGCAAGCGUUAAUCGGAAUUACUGGGCGUAAAGCGCACGCAGGCGGUCUGACAAGUCGGAUGUGAAAUCCCCGGGCUCAACCUGGGAACUGCAUUCGAAACUGUCAGGCUGGAGUCUUGUAGAGGGGGUAGAAUUCCAGGUGUAGCGGUGAAAUGCGUAGAGAUCUGGAGGAAUACCGGUGGCGAAGGCGGCCCCCUGGACAAAGACUGACGCUCAGGUGCGAAAGCGUGGGAGCAAACAGGAUUAGAUACCCUGGUAGUCCACGCUGUAAACGAUGUCGACUUGGAGGUUGUGCCCUUGAGGCGUGGUUUCCGGAGCUAACGCGUUAAGUCGACGCCUGGGAGUACGGCCGCAAGGUUAAAC
rnacentral:rRNA from 1 species